rnacentral:lncRNA from 1 species
GAUGGAGAAUCAUGCAAUUGUGAACCCUUUACCUCUACCCUCAGGGCAGAAGAUGAGGCAUAAGAUGGUGUCCUAUGAGGUUAGCCAUCCCCAUCAACUUUUCUUGGUCUACCCCGACCUCGACCUCUAUCCCUACCUGGGGCUCAUCCUCGACCUUUAUCACCCACUGGUGGUUGUUCUCCACCAAGUUUUGAUCUUGUUUGUACCAUCUUCCUACAA